UAGGGCACUGAUUUCGUCUGCUUGUUUCACGUCUAUUGUUGUUUUCUCUUUUCUUGUUACGAGCGAUGGUUUGACAGAGGACACGUCGAAGCAAUUGACUAUCGAGGAAAAAAGAGAAAUGGCUUUUUUUUUUUCGAGGGAAGCCAUUAGUCGUUCAACCAUGGCCAUAAAUCAGUGGCUGAGAAUGAAACAGACACCACGCCAUGUUGACAAAUUUCGAUGUUGCAAUAGCCAACUGCGGACGAAUGAUCAGCAUAUAUUUGGACAGUAAAUAAAGAAAAAACCAUCUUCAAAAGAAAAAGCAUCGAUAUUAAUAAAUUUGAGCCCAGAAAACCAUUUAAAUCUAUCAUUGUCCGGUAAUAAAAUAGGGAUGCUGUUUAGUAGGUCUCAAUUUCUUCUUCCAGGAACUGGGGACCCAUUUUAGCAGAGGCCCAACACGCGGUGAGUAAUCGGUGACGUAUGGAGGUCAUCUUGUUAUAAAAUGGCCAUGGCUAAGGAGGAAAACAAGAUUCUUCGUUGGUGGCAGGAAGUAGAGCCUCUGCGGGGAAAAAGAAUCGUAGUGAAAAAAGAAACAAAUCGUAAACGUUUUCACUCGCUUUCAUGGCUUGUAACCACACACCAUCUAUCAACUGUGUUCAUUUGUUUGGGCUACCCCCGGCGAAGUAUUCGAUUUUUCUUAUUUUUAAAGAGUUCAAGCAAAGCUGUUUGAACUGUUGAAAAAGUUCAAAGCGGUGGUCUAUUCGGAAUCCGGAUCGGACAUAGAAAUGUGGUAAAACCGCACGAUGAUUAACUUGACUGCGAGUUUCAACGUUUUUCUUAUCUUUUCAAUCAUCUGUUAUCGCUAUCGUCGACGAUAUUCGGCUCGAGUCUAACGAGGGAUGUACGUCGUGUGAUUGAAAGUAUUUUUCUCUUAACCUCAAAAAAGAUUAAGAACAAUUAAAUGUUCAUCACUUUCUCCGAGCUUCAGGCAAAUGAUGGACGGUUUUCGUUACACACCCAUCACGCCGAAACACAAUGUAUCUCGUCCUCUUUUUUCCCGACUGACAUAUAAAACGAUGCCCACGGUUCACACACUCACGGCCAUUGAAUAUGUUAUUGCGGUCGGCAGGAAAAAACAAAAUCAAAAAUUUGAAUAGACCUAAACACAUUACGUGCAGGCCAAUCCGUCGAGGUCGUUGGGCAUCAGCCUCCAGUGUUAUUUUACAAGAAAACAAGAGCUCUCGUUUAAACGUGGCACAGUGAAUCGACAUUUCUAAUCCAAGGCUAUUGUGUACAUUUUCCUAAAUCGACUGAAAAUCGUUUUCCGGGGAACAUGAUCAGAAAAAUUUUUUUUUUGAUUCUUACCUUGUAAAUGGCGCCGAUAGGCAUUCGAUACUCCAUGUUCCUUAAGUCUGGAAUUUAAUUGUUUGUUUUUCUUUUACAGCAAAGAAUGUCCACCGUUUUGCCUGAUGAACUGGCGUUUUAUGGAAAAAUAUUUUGUUUUUCCUUCCCAUGACGGCAGUGUUUGGUCACACGUCAAUAUGGAAAAGUCAACAGUCGACACUGUGAGUAUAUUAUUGUUGAGGCCAACAGAAAAAAAAAAUCUUAUCUUUGUAUUGAAUGACCCCGAGUAUGUAUACAGUUUGUUGGGUGUAGAUUGUGGAAACGUGCAAAGCCGCCCUACAUACUGAUGAAUUGUAAAUUGGACAAGUCUUUUUGAAUGUAAUUUAGUUUGACCCUUGACAGGAAAAAAAGAAUUUGAAACGAGCACGACAGGUGGACAUUGGCACGUAUAGAACCCCGUUCAUUGUUAUCCUUUCAAGAAUGAAAGCUUUCACGAGAAAGACGAGCAAACAUAGUUUUCUUCGGCACUUUUCUUUCCUUUUUUUGAAAGUCUUUUCUCCUUCUGUGGCCAUCUUCCAUUCAUUGCUAUUUUCUUUUUCCAAAGUCUGUCGGCUGCCAAUCUGCGUGACGACAACAUCACCUCCUUUUUCUUCUGGAGCCCUUUUUUUCGCUUAAACUAUCAAAAAAAAGAAACACUUUGACGACGUGAUGAUGGUGAUCCAAGCAGACGCUUCUGUUAAAGAUGGCCGACUCUCUCUCUGUUCUGUUUUGCGACCAACUGAUGUUUUAUGACUCUUGAUUAUGGUAGCAGCUUGUUUCAUCAAAAAUGUUAAAGGGGCCAUCACUCCCCGACUUCCGUAUGUUAAAAGAAUACGAAAUAUUCAGCAAAAUUUGGCAUCCAUAAAUGACCGAAGCAGA